GUCACGGUGAGAUCGAUGCCGGGAUGAUCAGAGCUCCAGAAAACGUCGUGAUCAACCACCACAGUUCCCAGAAACGGUGUCGCCUUCGUAGAGGACGUACUCGUAGACGCAUUCGACUUCGUUUACAGUGACGGAGAGAGAAGAAAUGCGGCCAAUUAAGGUAAAUAAAAGAGCUGUCACUACGUAGGUCUGCCUUCUCUCCAACGCUCUCUUUCUGAAUUCUUAUUUUUGUAUGAUUUCUU
rnacentral:misc_RNA from 1 species